CGAUGCUUGGUUUUCAACAAACAUAAAUUUGACCGCUGAUUAUGCUCAGAAUAAACAAAAUGGACGUGUGACAGAAGAACAAACCUUCCAGAACGCCUCGAAAAUUCUUGGAGGAUUAUAAAGAAAUGCAAUGGCCAGCCUUUGGGGAUAAUGGUUUUGCAAAACAUUAAUGCAAUCACGGCUAGUUUUGAUGGGAAUAUUGGUGCUCAAGGACCAUCCAGUGAAGUCUAUCAACCAUGACAUUUGUUCUUGACCAUCAGCAAGGUUAAGGAUUCCAUUUUCUAAAAGAUAGACCAUGUAGCGGACAUUGUCUUCAGUACAUUUUGUGGUCUGCCAAAUUGCAGAAGAAGAGGUCAAAGGUCAAUUUGCAAAAGCUUCGGUCACAGUAUGCUUGCUUAAGAGCCAGAAAAAUAAAAAUCACUAGAUAAAAAUGAGGGGAAAAAACAGUACAAACCUGCAUCCCUGGCCUCAUUAUAAGCACAGUCCUCCCGGAACGAUCAUGAAAAUUUGCUCUGGAGAUUUUCCCUGUCACGCCUUCAUGUGCUACUUCAUGCUGAGAAAUUACACGUGCAUAUGUCAAAAAAAUGGUCUAGAUAAUAUCGUCUAGAAUCGAAAAACAGCGGUUAGAUCUGGCCAUCCUAUCAAGAAAGGCAAUCAUUGCAUCCCACAUACCCAGCGGAUUUCUUCAGGCUUGAAAGUUGCUCUCCACUUAAUCGUCUCUUCCAGCAUUUUCUUUGCCUUGUCAACAUUCCAGUUCCGAGCUUCCAAAUACCUUCUCAAGCAUGAAUCAGUGCAGUACUGUAAACUACGACCAGAUAGAGGUCCAAGAGCAGCCCUGAGCUCACAAACCUGCUUGUCGAAAAACCAUUAAUUUAAUGUCUAUUUUCAAUCCACUUAUUCAUGAUUUCUUCAGGAGACGAAAAUCACAGAGUAAAAAACGUCCGUCCGACUCAAACUUUACCUUUGCAUCUCGUUCUGAAGGGUCAUUCUCCUGCUGAGUAUGUGGCUGCCUUCUUAUAAGAUACAUGUUGACUGCAAAAAGAGUUUAACUUGUGUUAAGAAAUCAAUCCUCCUUCUACAAUUAGAAGAAAAAAAAGUCAUGACAUCUAUUUUCUCCCUUAAUCUUCAUCAAUUAGAAGCAAAAUUAGUAUUCAUAGAAAAUAAACUUUCCCAUUGAAAUAAUUUUCAUCAACUAGGCUCUGUCAUGCCAUGGACUUUCUGCUUUCUUUCUUAUGCUAUUAAUUUUUUGAAUAGCAAUACCAAGUCAAGUAUUUUUAGUAAUCAUCAGGCACACAGCAUAAUAGCCUGAUCACUCUAGCAAAAACUAGAAGUUAUAAUUAGAACCUGAAAGACCCACCAAGAGAACAAAUUCUAAAGUAAUAAUUUUGAAGAAAGCUAGGGUUUUGAGCUUCAUUUCGGAUGGAAAACCAAAAGGGCCUUUCAACAAGAAACAAAAAAACCAAGAAAAAAUCGUUUAGUCAUGCUAAACUCAAAGCUUACAGUUACUCCAACAAAGGAAGGUGGAAAAAUAAAACUAGCAAUGAUGAAAUGAAUUGAGAUAUAGGAAUGUCAAACUGGCAAACCUAUAUAAUGAAGCAGAAGUGAAGAACUCUCCACUGAAGCUCUAUCAAGGCCUCUUGUGUUUCAGAAAUGAAAUGGUAUCUGGGAGUUUGUUUAAAUGAGGCGGUUUCCUGCUUUUAUAUUGAGGAAGCAAGAGCAAAAGACUUGACCUGGCAUGGCAUGGCAUGGCGUUUCAAAGUCUUUGUACAAACACUGCUCUGAAAAAAAAAUAUGUAUAUAUUUCGAAGUCUUAUUAACGUGUAAUUUUCUCAGAUGUGAUGUUAUUUGAGAUCUUUGGAUUCAGAUCCAAAUAUCAAGAAGGGUUAUUGAGAUGAUUUGUGCUAUGAAGACUAUAUAUGUGUUCGUAAAUAUGUAUGUUCCGAGGAUUUGUAUUUCUGAGAUGGUGAUUUUGAGAAAAAUAUUUAAUGAAAUUAAUGUUGCUGGAAAUUAAAUAGAUAAAAUUCUAAUUUAUAUAUACUAAAUUUCUUAUCUUUGUUCAAAAACGAAUUUUUUUUAGGUGUUGAAUUUCUCUUUGAAUGGUCAAUAUUGUGUGAUAUUUUGAAUUCUUGUUAUUAAGGUUCCAACUAUAAUGGGAGUUUUUAAGUUAUUUAAAUAAUACUCAUUAAUUUUAUAAUUUAUUUAUUUUAUCUGAAUUAGGAGUCUCCAUUGAAAUAGCAAGUAUUUUCGGGUCAAUUGGGAGUUGCUGGCUGCGUCCACAGCCUAAUUCUUUUCGGUAUCUUCUACGAGCAAACAUAAAAAGGUUUGGUCACACAUCACUGUUGUGUAAGAAAUUAAUAAAUCAUUUACAUAAUGAUAUCAAAUGUAUGUGUAUAAACCAUGAUUUUUCAUGUCAUAUAAACGUUAUUCAAAGUACAUAAAAGGCUACCUGUUUGUUUUUAUGUUUUAAAAGUAUUUUUUAAAAAAAAUAAAUUUUUUUAUUUUUUUUAGUUUAAAUUAAUAGUUUUUUAGUGUUUUUAGAUAUUAUGAUGCGCUGAUAUUAAAAAUAUUUUUUAAAAAAAAAACAUUAUUUUGAUAUAUUUUCAAGUGAAAAGCACUUUGAAAACCGUAACAUCAUUAUAUUUUUUUUAAAAAUACUUUUAAAAUAUAAAAAUAAACAGGAAAGUGAUGAGAAUAUAUUUUUAACUAUAUUUUUUUAAAAGACACUUGUGGUCUAUGCAUGGUGUUUGUUUUUAUUUUUUGAAGUAUAUUUCAAAUUAUUUUUUAUGAUUAUAUUUUAGUUUUUGUAAAAUUGAAUCCAUCUUAAAUUAUUAUUGCAACUGGUGGCAUGAUCCUUUUAGGUAUAUUCAUCUUCAAUUACAAAUUAGGAAUGUAAAAAAUAGCAAUCUGAACUGGUCAGCUUCUUCUUCUCCGCUACCAAUAUCCAUCUUUUCUGAUUCCUUAUUUUACCAAAAUAAAAAAUAGAACCCUGAUAUAAAAUACCAAGAUAUUGGGAGAAGAUGAUAUCAUUAUUAAUGACUAAAUAAUAUAUGAUUAGAAAAAAACUAAUAAAUUGUCAUGCUUCAAUUAAUGACACAUGUAAAAACAAUUAAAAAUAAAAAUAGGCUAUGUCAGUAUGACGCCUGCUUAUCAUGAGCAUGUGGUGUGACAAAAAAAAAUGCCAUGUCAUCUGGACACAUAAAAAUUUGAAUAUUAUAGCGAUCACUUCAUCCAUUUCACUGCAUAACGAUCAAGGUGUGAAAUGAAAAUAUACUCUUUUUUUUCCUGGUGAGAAAACAGACGAUAGUUUUCGAAUCAAAAUGCUAAUGAUCCAUGAACAAACAAUAGGUAUGAUAGUCCCUCGUAGCUUACAUGAUCGUUAAUUUCAGGAUCUAUAAAAUUAGUCGAGGUAUAUAUAAACUAGUUCGGACACCCACAUUAAUCAAAAAACAAUAAGAAUCUAUGAAAAAUACCAUUGCGACUACCUACAUCCAUAAAUAUAGACUAUAAUAUUUAAGAUUAUUGACAAAAUUUAUAAAAAUAUUUGUACUGAAACAAUUGGUUUUGAAAAAAAAGAGAGUAAAUUUUCACAUCACUAGUAAUUUUUUUCCUUUAAAAUCUACAUCAAUAAAUAUAAACCAUAAUAUUUAAUACUAAGAUGUUGUCACUUCCACGUUUUAGCAUAUAUAUUUAAUAUCUGGCAAGGUCUGUUCCCGCGCUUUACCCCAAAGGAAGGUUUUGGUAAUUAUAAAGUAGUGUUUGAUUAAUAUUAUUUGAUAGAAGGAAAAAGCGACAGAAAUAAUAUAAAAUAAAUUUAUUUUUAAAACAGUUUUGAAAUAAAUUUAUGUAUUUUAUAAUAAAAUAAUAUAUAAUAACUAAACGCUAUUAGAUAGUUUACGAUAAAUCUUGAAGAUAAUGGUAGAAAUUGAGAGGAUUGAAGAUAUAUAUAUAUAUAUAUAUAUAUAUAUAUAUAUAUAUAUAUAUAUAUAUAUUUUAUUUGAGGAAACUUUAUUCCUUGAAAAGCGUAUUUUGUGGGCUUAGGUGAGCGAUUAAAACCUCAGCUGUCCUAGACUCUUACAAGAAGUGCACGUCCUGAUUCGAACUCGAGACCUGCUAUGCAGAUCUCAAGCUCUUUGUCAUCACGCUACGUCUCUUGGGACUGAAUCGAAGAGAUAUUGCUAAAGCUUGGUAAAGAUUUCUUUCGAUUCUUGUUAAGCAAAUCUCACCAAUAGAAUUUCAGAGAGCACCAUCGCAGCUUGGUCACGCUGAGUUUUUGUUUGAAAUAAUGUCUGGCCACAUGCUUUUUUAGCAUUUCUUGGUGCCCUCCUACGUUGAAUAAGGAGGGUUUGCUUGCAACUUUGAAUCAAAUAAUAAUGAGGCUGAAUCGUUGACUAAAUCUCUUGGCGCAAACGAAAGGAAGAAAGGGACCGGAAUCGUCGUUUUGUCAAACCAUGUACAGGUGUAUUCUGGAGAGUGUAACACCAUCGCUAAGCAAUGAUCCUGUUAGUUUUUUGUACUAAUUCUUUCUUUUUAUUUUUUUAUUGCCUCUCGAUUCACAGAUCAGGUGUUGUUGCUUCAGGUGACCAAGUUUCCUUUCUUUAUUGUUGUUAUUGUUUUUGGUUUUACUUUUCAAGUCAUUAAUUCUCAGGUCAGCAACGAGGAUGUGGAUAUGCAUAUUAACAUGAGAGAGAGAGAGAGAGAGAGAAUAUGUUGUGCUUCAAGAGUUACUAUCAGCUAUCGUUUUGCACCUGUUUUUGUAUUUGCAAUGUAAAAAACAUAAUAAGGUAUCUGGUAACCAUAAAAAUUGUGUUUUAUAUUAUGGAAUUCACUAAAAAAAUUGAAUUUAAAAUGCAAUUUUUGUGCAACCACAUAACUACCAAACAUUUUAUAAAUGUUUUUUUACUGCAAAUAAACCUCAACCAUAAUUUUUACUAAACGUAUAUCUAAAUCCAACUAACCACACCUAACCAUGCUUUUUUUAAAUUUAUUUUUUUCAAACUACAACCAUACAAGUUACCUCAAAAAUAAACGCACUCUCUAGAGUGUGAUAACAGUUAAUUUUUAAAAUAUUUUUUAUAUAAAUACAUUAAAAUAAUAUAUUUUUUUAUUUUUUACAUUAGUAUAUCAAAACAAUCCAAAAAUAUAUAAAAAAUUAAUUUUAAAUAAAAAUAAUAAUUGAAUUUCAACCGAUCUCUAUUUGAACCGCAAUAUUAAACAUGGGCUUACACAUCAACUCUUGGAGGUGGGCUUAGUGAAAAGGUUCAAAUUUAAGGAUGGCUAUUAACCUGGUUCCUUUUCCUGGGUUAUUUGAAACUAGAUAAAACUUGGUAGGGUUCAUAUAAGGCCCAAGAGAGAUUAUUAUCAUAAUUAGGAAAGAAUUGCUAUUCCGUUGACUUUUGAAGCUGACUGCUAGCCUGCACAUUUUGAUUUUUUUUCUUUGACUUUUCUUUUUUGAGAAGAACAGUACAUGAAUGAUAAGACUUGGCCCAUCUGUCUCCAAUUCAUGAAUAGCGAGCGAUACCAUCGGUGGCUGGAAGUCUUUUUCUUGCACUAGGGAUUGUUGGAUCCAAGCCAUGAGCCAGAUGGGCAUAUGCCUGAACAAUUGACUUUCCUUACAAACCAAAAUCGUGCUGGCGUCAAGCCAAUUAACAGCUAGCAAGUCAAGUUUCAGGCUAAAAUAAAUAAGCAUUAAAUAAUAAGUAUUCCACAGACCAAACAUUGAUUAGGUCCUGGAAAAAUCUCUAAACUAUCCUCCACGGGAUAGCAAGCCACGCAAAUGGCCCAGCGUUACCGUCCAGCAAAAGAAUCUAUUACUUCUCAAAGAAAACGACCUCACUGAUAGUAAUUGAGAGGAACAAGGAGGAUUAUACUUUUUUUCUACCAAGAAAGAUACAGGCAAGACAAUGGAGCUUGUUUGCAGAAGCUUCAGGGUAGAAAGAGGGUCAUCAAUAAAGUUUGGGAGAUCGAACAGUUCACUGCUGAUAUCAGAAUCUAUAUCCUCGGAAUGUACACGAGUUGCCCGCUAUGAGAAUCUUUCAGCUUCUAUGAGGAUGAGCAAUGAUCAGGAUAUCGGAUAUAGGAGCAGGAAAAGCAGGGCUUACACGUUUAUAAGCAAGGUUUUCAGCUUCAGGAAAAUCUCCAGCGAUUGUGAGACAAGGCAGCAAGCAGAUAUGGUGACUCAAGAGGAGAAAAAAGAGAAGAAGAAAAGGUCUUCGUGGCUUCCUGAUCCUGAAAGGAGAUGGCCUGUGCAGGGUUGGUGAUUUACAGUCAAAGUCAAGGAGCUAGGCAUGGCAAUAACUAAGAUCAUUAACUGGGUUUUCAUUCCUCCGGAUCUCAUGUGGCGAGAAGAUUGAAGAAAUCUCAAGGAAAAGGAUAGAAAAGACUACGAGGAAAUGCUCAGAUAGUCAAUUGAUCACAUGGCUAGAUUAUCAAAAAGGAAGCAUAGCAUUUAUUACUUCAAAACGAUUUGUAAUGUUCCCACCCAAUUAUUAAAUUGUUCUUCUCACCAACAACCCAAUUUAAAACCCAAGCAAAGCAGGUCUAUACGAGAUGGCUUCGUGGAAAAUAAUCCAUAAACCUCAAGCAGAAUAGAUUUAGCUUAUGAUGCUGCUAGUUGUAUUCUGCAAUGUCCAUGAAUAAUACAUUGCUAUUUGUAAAGCUUGUAAGGUGAAGGACCUACUGGGUUCUAUCCAAAUGCCCAGACUGCUUGAACCCCUUGAUUAUGAGCAUCGGGUCUUUGAAAGUUCUUGCUUAUGAACUUCCGAUGUGAUGAACACUUCAGUAGCCAAUAGGCAACACUUGAUGAAAGGCAGCAAUGUCUCCGACAAGAACCAUGAUUUUGACAAACAUGCGAAUAUAACGAGAAAAGGCUUCUUCUGAUCAAGUUACCUUGCCUUGAAUUGAAUAUGAAGCAUCUGAAUUAAUUGAAUAUGUUUAACAUAAGAACAUAGAAGUCCCAGCACAGAAAUUUGUUGUUAUCAAGGACAGGGCCUAGGACAAAUCUCUCAUAAUAUGGUAGGUAGAUAGAGAACAAUACUAAAAGGGAUCCCUACACAAGUUCCAUUUUGCAAGAAAUCAGUAAAUUAUCAAUCAAAAAACUAUAUGAACAUGAUAAUGGAAGACUAAGAGCAUCAUGAUCAGUAGCUUUAGGUCUAUUAGAGUGAUGACACAGCAGAAAAAUAACUCUUUGAAUGUAAAUUGGAAUCUUCAUUGAAUGCCAACAAUCCUGGGUUUUGCACUUAACAAUGAAGAACAUACAUGUUUCAUAAUCGUAUAUAUUCCAGAUGGGUGCGAAUGCGAUAGCGAUUAAAAGCCAUAGAUGAUCUGAAUUUUGUGCCAAUAGCUGAAAAAUCAUUUACGAUUCGUUAGAUGAGUUUUCUUUAAAAAAUUACAAAUUCUUCACAAGCAAGCAAAAAAAAUAUUCUUUUUUCGUUAUAAUCACGCAGGUUACUGUUAGAUAUGAUAAGAUUAGAUGGAAACAACAAAUAAAGAUUUGAAACACUCUACAGGGGUGUUUGGCCUUCGUUUUAACUAAAGUUUUGUAUAUUUUUAGAAGAAAAUGUUAAAUUUAUAUUAAUUUUUUUUAUUGUUUUAAUACGAUGAUAUCAUAAAUAAAUUUUUAAAAAUAAAAAAUUAUUAUUUUAAUAUAUUUUAAAAUAAAAAAUAUUCUAAAAAAAAAAUAUUUUAAAAAGCAAUCUCUAUAAAUAUUCUAUCACUAUCCUAGACAACUUUUAAAAAAACUGGCAGCUGUCAUUUGCACGCGUGCAUGUGAUUUUUUUGGGUUUUAACAUCAAUCAAUCCGGCAGCAAUAUAAUAUGCGGCAAGCAUAUUAAGAAUGUGUUUGAAAUUGUAACGUGAUGUCUGUUUAAAAUAUUUAUUUUAUUUUUAAAAAAUUAUUUUUUAUAUCAGUAUAGUAAAAUAAUUUUAAAAUUAAAAAAAUUUAAAUAAAAUUUUUUUAAAAAAAAAACUAUGAUUUACAACAUGUUCCCGAACACUACUUAAAUUUAAAUAAAAUAAAAAAUAAAAAAAAAAUAAUCUAUAGUUAUGUUUCACUCGUGUUUUGAAAUUCAACAUGAUUUGAUGAUUUUAUUAAAAAAAUAAUUUAAAAUAACUUUUUAAUUAAAUUAAAUAAAAUAUAAAUUUAAUAAAAUUUAUUUGACUUGCUAAGUUUUUAAUAACUUAAUUGAUUCAAUAAUAUUCAAUUUAAAUCUAAUCAAAUCAAUAAACAUGAAGAAAAAAACCAUGUCAUUUAAUUACAAAAUCAAAAUCUCUAAUCUCUAAUCUCCUCUUAUCUCAGCACAAAACAACUAAACGGCCAUAGAUAAAUAAAGUUUGAAAAAACAUGUAUCUCUCCAAUCAUCUUCAUGUUAUUUUCUUGUUUUCUUUUGUUUCAAGGAAUUAUUAUUGUUUUGUUUUAUUUUGUUGUGUUUGCAUCCUCGGUGCUCAAGGUCCUCCAAAAACAAAAUCAGUGAGGCAUGGUAGCUUGACCAUUUUAGUUUUUCGCCUGCUUUUGCUUAUAGGUUAUGUAAAUAUGUAGAGAUUUUUUUAAUAGUGAUUGUUGAAAGACUUAAAAAAGCCUAAGAGGGAGUGAAUUAGAGCUUCAUUUAUUUUUUAUUGCCAUUUUAAAAAUAAUCUCCAAUUUACUCAAAAUAGUUUAAAUUAAUCUCAAUUUCUUUAACAAUGUCUAAAUCAAAAAUUAAUACCAAAACUCACAAACUAUAUCUUAAUACACUAAGAUAGCCAAAACACCGAAGUAAUAUAAUUGAUCAUAAAUAAAAAGAUAAGGAUAGAGCGAGACACACUAAUUUUAUAGUGGUUCAGAUUAAAUAAUCCUUCUAUCAGGCUUAAAAUUAAACUCAAUACUUUUAUGGGCUAAGGAUUAAACAUGUCUCAAUUGUUUUUUCGAACUCAAUAUUAAAUACAAUUUUUUUUACAGGCUAAUAAUCAAACCCAUCACUUGAUUUUUUCAUGAGCUCAAGAUUGAAAACUUAUCACACAAAUUUUUUUUGAAGAUCCUCUCUCAAAUUCACACCUAAAGAAUAAAUCUAAGUGGUUAAACUGUCACUUAUACUUUUUAUAAUAUAUUUGUUUCUCACAAGAGAAAGAUUACUCCUUACAUGCUGAAAAGAUUACAAUAUAUAAACUCAAGUAUUUAUAGAAUGUAAUCUAACACACAAAGGUGAAAGAGUGAUUUUGAUGUUAUAAGAUUCAAAGAUUUUUAAAAGAUUACAGAAGAAUAAUCAAAACUUUUUAGAAUAAGAAAUAUCACACAUCAUGUGCAAGAACAAUUAGAAAUACUAAAAAUGUGUAUUUAUUGAAAAACCCCAAAACUAGUUAUUACUUAUGUUAAAAUUAUAAAUUUAUCACCUUAACUGAUAAUAAAUAAAUGAUAUAAAAACCAAUGUGAUAAUAUUUUUAGCUACAAUUGGUUAUUAAAAUAUAUUAUAGUGCAAGGCACAUAAUAAGUAUUAUGCUCUUCAUUUAAGUGUAAAUAACAAAAUAUAUGAUGAAAUAUUUUUGGAUGAAAAUAUAUAUGGCAAAAAAAAAUAUUUUUUAUGAUGUAAAAUUAUAUUCCAUAAAGAUUUGAUCACACAAAGAUAUGAUUUGAAGAAUCUUCAAGUUAAGUUUGCAUCCAAAGAGUCUAUAAUUUCAGUCUGAUGUAGAAAAAUUCUUAUAAUAAUAAUACUUUGACAUAUAUAUUAUAUGCAAUAAUAUAUUGUUAUCAUCAAAACAAAUAAUCCUUGACCGAUUAAAGGAUUAAAGGCCUCUCAUAGUAAAUGAGUUGUAUAUUCAUCUUUUCCUUCUACAUUUCUUAUGAUCAUUUCUAGAAAUGGAAACAAAUGAGGGAAAAAAAGAAGAGAAAAGCUUCAAUUUUCGAAUAUGAUAUAUACAAAUUAAUCAAUGUAUUACAUAAAUUUCUCCUAACUAAUGAAAGAUUGAGUUGUAAAUGAUGAUAUAUGGAGUUAUUGAAAAUCCUUCAAAGAUAAUUGAAACAUUUCAUUUGUCUCUUCCUAGCGAUUUCUACUCUACAACAUUACGUUGUCUUUUAUUUCAUAAACAAUGUCGUCUUUUUUAGUGCUCUUUUCCUAUUCUGUUUAUUUCACUGAUGGAAAUAGGGCUUCUAGGUAUUCAACCGAGGGAGUUCUCAAAAAAUGUGAUUUUUUUUUUACUUAAAAUAAAAAAAUUAUGUUUUCAGUUUUUUUUAUGUGCUGAUUUUAAAAAUAAUUUUUAAAAAAUAAAAAAAAUUAUUUUAAUGUCUUUCCAAGCAAAAAACUUUUGAACCAUCACCGUUAUUAUAAUCUCAAAUAGACUCUAAAACUUAGUGAAUUACUAGUUUUUUGUUGUAUUUUUGCUGCGAUUGAAUCUAAAUAUUUUAGAAUAUAAAAAAAAUAUUAUUUAAAAUAUUAAAAAAUAAAUAGUAUUGUUAUUAGCGUUUCAUAUUUAAAAAAUCUUGACUCAGUUAUUUUCUUAGUUUAAAUUUUAAAUUAAUUUGACUUAUUUUUUUAUAAAUUAUUUCAAUUUUGCUAUGAUAGUAACGUGUGACUAUUUUCUAAUCUACAACUAAAUUUAUCAAAACUCUAUGAAAGUUUUCUUAUCCUCAUUCUCAUUCGAGAUACUAGGAGCUCUCCAUUGGUUGAACUUUGAGUUCUUGUUUGCACUUAAGUUUUUUCAUUUGAAGAGCACAUUUAUGUGUUUUUUUUUAAUGCCUUUUCUUUUGUUUUUUUAUUGCACAUAUUAAAAAUAUAUACAUUGUGUUCAGAAUGUAAUGAGGCUUAUCUAGGUAAUUAAUUUGGCAAUGUACUAGGUUAACUUUUCCCUGCACUAUGGCUAUAUCUUGUAUCAAAAAAAUUUAGAAUGUCAAAAAAAAAAUAUUUAGAUUAUAAAAAUCUUUUUGAUAUUAUUAUUAAACUUAAUAUAAUAGUUCAAAUUUAAAAAAUUCUUAACCAACUCUUUACUUAGCCUAAAUUUUAAAUUAAAUUGUGUUCUAACAUGACUUUAUCAACUAAGCAGGUAAAAAAAAUCAAAGAAAAAGGAAAAAAAUUGGUCAUGUUCACUCUAAUCAACUCAUCCAAUCCGUGAAUGGACUCCACUUAGUUGAAUUAAUUUGUUUAUUUUAUUAUAUGAUAAAAAAAUACAAAAAUAAUUUACAAUCAAUUCAAUACUAAAAAAUAAAAUUCAAUAAAAACUAUAAUAUAAUUAAAAAAUCUCAAAGGGCCAAUAAAAAGAGCCCGGAUCAUAAUAUAUAAUUUAAUGAGUCAAUGCAUUGGAUAAAAGGCCAUGGCUAGUUUAUAUGUAUCGCGCUCGAUAAAUCUCCUGAGCUCUCUGGUCUGCCAUCCUCACUUUUUCUAUUUUUACACUAGGUUGAAUUUGAGACAAGACAACUUCCUAUUUUUUUCCGCAAACGAGAAGCUGUAUUUCUUACUAAAUUAAUUAAUUAAUUAAUUAAUUAUAUUACAAAAUCCCAUUAAUUAUAUCUAUUUCAAACCUCUCAAUUCUUUUUUCAGAGUUAUGAUUUUUCUUUUUAUUUAGUCAUAAUUGCUCAUCCCAUUGAUUGAUUUUAUCUUUAAUGAAAUAUUUAAUUUAAUUCAUCUCCAAUCACCUAAAAUCCAAUGUGAAUAGAUUUUAGUUUGUAUAUUUGUAAAAAAAAAUAUUUUAGAAAACAAAUAUUUUAGAAAACCCGAAAUAUGUAUAUUCCACAAAUCCAAUGUGAAUAGAUUUUAGUUUGUAUAUUUGUAAAAAAAAAAUAUUUUAGAAAACAAAAAUCAUAUUAUGAACCCGUAGUGAAAUAUGUAUAUUCCACGCCAUUUAGUAUUUUCUAUAAAAUAAUAUAAUGCGUAUCCCUGAAAACACUAUGAAAAAUAAAUUUUAUGAACAAAAAAGGUAUUAAUUUCUUUUAUGACAUCAUUUGUUCAUUAAAAUGUAAAUUAUUUUAUUAUAUUUAGUUGUGUAAUAAAUGAUGAGUUGAAAAUUUAUUCUUACCGUUUUUGCGUAUAUUGAAAAACCAAUUACAAAAGCUAGUAUGAAGCAUGCAAAGAUUAAAUGUGGUUUUUUAAACUCGAAUGAAAUAUUUAAAUAUAAUUAUUUCGUAAUUCAAAUAAAAUCUAAUUGUCAUAAAAUGUAAUUAUCAUAUAUUUUAAAAUUAAUACUGCAAGUUAAUACUUAAAAAAAAUAAAAAUAAAAAAGAGGGUGAGAAGUAGUAGAAUAAACAAAAGAAUUGUGCUAUACAAAAAAUUGACUGAUUAUUUUAACAAGAGCUAGAAAACCGCCAAAUAAUUGCUAAUAAAUUAUUUUAUUUUUACUAAGAAAUGUAAUAUUGCUUUCAAACGAUUUAUUUUACUUUGUUUAAAAGAUUAAUAAGAGAUCCGAGUGGAUUUGAACCACCAGCCUCUCAAAUCCCCAUUACGGGACUUUGAGCGCUCUACCGUUUUGAGCUUACGGAUCUUAUCAUCAUUGAAGAACGGGCAUCAAAACGAGAGUUACCUCUCCCCUUUUCUUUUCUCAUCUACAAAUCCUCCUCUACUUAAUUACCAAAGUUACCACAAAAUGAAUUUUUUUAAUGACCUGACCUUUUUUCACGGGCAAAAACACAUUUCCAAUACAAAUAUCAAUUGACUAAACAAAUCAUUAAUAAAGAGCUGACCGCAUCAAGCCAGAUUCCUGCCUGACACAUUUACACUAAUGUGAAUCAUUUAUCACCGGAAGCCAUAUUUACAUAACCGUUGUGACGUUGAUUUGAAUAAUAAAAGAACAUGUUCAGGGGAAAAUACAUUCUACCAAUAAAAAAAGAUACAUUCAAGAUAAAGUUUGAUACUACUUUUGUAUUAAAAAUACCAUAUUUUAAAAACAAAAAUUCUUAAUAUUGUUUCAUUAUAAUUACAUUUAUUAUAAAAAUUAAAUUUAUAGCUCUAAAAUAUAUACAUUUCAUAUUGUUAAAAAGAACACGCAGAAAAAUUACGUUAGUCGUGUUUUUUUUUUAAUUUCAAAAAUUAAAAAAAAAACUCAGAUAUAUUAUAGGUGCAAAUUUAAAAAAAAAAACAUCUGAAACUAUUUAUAAGUUCUUCCAUAAUUUUCACAAAGUCGAAAAAUAACAACUUGAGAUUGUAUAUAGCUAAAAUAGUGUAUGAAAAUCCAAUGAUAGACAUAAAGAAAGUGUUGAAUAAUAUAAUGCCGGAUGUAUUGCUUUUUAAAUGAACAUGAACUAGCUUAUUAGAAUUUUUAUUGUACUUUUAUUUUUAACAUAUCAAAUUCAUAAAACAGUUCUUAAAAAACAAAGACACUAACACAUUGGACACUUCAAAUAUAUAUUUAAUAUUGUGAUGACAGUAAAUUUUUAAUUAAAAAUACUGUAAAUUUUUUUUCUUGGUUCGACAUUAAAACUAAAAAAUCAGUUUAAUACUUGCAAUUUCAUAAUCCGAGGACUGCAAUUACUAAUAUGGUUGUUCUGGCGUGUCUUUGAAUAAAUAAAAAACACCCGAAAGCUUGAUUUGAAAGAACUUCGGUCAGGGAUGAGCAUCAAUCACCACCAUCUGGUCACCGGAAAGGCAUAACCUAACCUUCCAAUACGUGGCAAUUCAUGAAACCUAUCAUGUGAAACUUCUGGAAGAACAAUACGUGGAAAAUUUGGUAUUUAAAUUAAAUUGCUUCGCCUAAAAAGGCAUUAAAUUGAUGCUAAUAUCAAGAAUAUUAUAUUGAAAAACACUAAUUAAUUACCAAAUACCAAAGACAAUGAGAGAGGACCACUUUUCUUCGAAUUAGUGGGAAAGGAUAGAUAGAUAAUUAUGAGCAUGUUUUAAUAAAACGGCACAUAAAAGAGAAGACACGCAGCAUUUACUGACUUGUAGAAUAACGACUUCAGUAGAUUACUACAUCUCCAGCUAAAACAAGGAAACCAUAGCAGCGCAGAUUUUAAACUGAAUGACACUGAACAACAAUUUAAUUGAGUGCUUUAUUUUUCUUUCAGGUGGAAUAGUAAACCAUUGAAGAACUUAUCACCUCAAAAUUGUGUGGCUCAAUUGAGAAUUGCGUGAGGACCUCCUGAGCUUUCUGUCGCCCUUUGAAGCCAUCAUCAUGAUCGUUGAAGCUCAGCAGCACAAGGUCUUUACAAACGUGGAUCGCCUACUGAGGACUACAAAUCCAUCUUCAACGCUACCAUACUAAGGCCAAAUCACUCACACCCAGAGAACCAAACAAGAAGAUCCAAUUGCAAAUCACAAGACUAGGUAAGAGCCACUUAAAUCCAGCCCCAAGGUCUUACAAGGAUAUCAUAGAGGACAAUAAGCUUAAUUAACAUACUUGCUACAAAAUAUGUAAUUGUAAAACGCUAGCAACAAUAGUAAAGCUAUCGAAACAGAAAUUCUGCGCAAGAUCGCAGUAAUGGAUUGACAAGCUAUAUCUAAAUAAACAAAACUCGUGCUCAUGUUUGCUCUGUAAAAUAAUAACAUGAGAUGCGUGCGUUGGAUAAUGAAAUAACUUGGAACGAAUGUUACCUGCAAUAACGGGGUGGUGCAAUGGAAUAAAAGCUUGAGUGCAAGGAAAGCAUACUGUUUAAUAUAGAAUAGAAGGUAAGCCCUGAUAUCAUAAUUUCCAGUGUCUUUGUUUUUUAUGUACUCUGUGAUGUGUGACUGCCAGUUUCAAGUGCUGAAACAUGUUUUAGUAGAAUUCUCUUAAUAGCCCAUAUUACCAAGAUGAAUAUUUGAUGGGAGCAGAUAGUGAUGAACAAUGAGAACCCAGAUUACAAAUUCAUGAUCUUGCUAACGACUGAUUCUACGUGAAGGGGCAUGUGACUACAUGAUUCUAAGUGCAGGAAAAUCGAAUUGAGGAUAUAGGAUAUAAGUAGGAGAAUACCUUCGGGUCACCGUCAUAAAUUGCAAUAUCGUGCCAUGGAUGAAUUGAUUGCUAGCUGGAGUCGGGGCCGCGCUUUAGCCAUGGAUUGUAAGGCAAAGAGAAGAGAAAGCGGGACACAGAGACUAGAGGGGAGAACCCGGGAAAUCCCCGUGCGAUCUCCCCUCCAAACACGAAAAUGAUAAUUUUAUUAAGAUAGUGGUUGACCUGCCAUGCAAGCGCACCUGUCA
rnacentral:lncRNA from 1 species